CAUCAUGGCGUCUGCCAUGAGCUCCUCUGUUCUCAGAGUGGACACAAUCGGCUCGGCUUUUUUCCAUUGUACUGCCAAAAUUCACCGAUUUCGAGCGCCAAAGGGAGCUUUUCAGAGGGAAUGCAGAGGACUUAGGUGUUUCUGCAGGGAGGACUUCUCCAGCUGCUUUGCUGAUUCCUACACAAAAGCCCAGCUCCCAUGGCAGAGGUCCUCCGAGGGGAAAGAACAAAGCUACAGGACACCAGAAACACCAUGAGCCAUCCAAAAACAUGAGGCAAAUGCUGAAAGAAUUGCUGCAGGGAGGACAAGCUGAACCUGCUGGUGAAGGUGGAGCAGCUUCCCAAACCACGUCCAGGACUGAGCCUCUGGGAGAUGCUGAGGGUAGGUCAAGGCCUUUCCCCUGGGAGAGCUGCCAGCUCAGAGCCCAAAUCUGGGCCAGGGGAGCAUUGCUGCAGGUGCCAACACAGAACUAUGCACGUGUGUGCCCUCACCCUGCGCCAUCCCCUCCCUGCUCCUGUGGCUCAGGCAUGGCAGCUCUUUGGAAAGAGGGGAGCCCUGACCCUGCCCUGAAAGCCAAGAUAUUUUCUGAAACCUAUCCCCAUGUUUAACGCGCAUGACAUCCUGAAGAUGCCAGCGCCCAAAUCAGGAACUCUUCCAUCUAAUCCAACUCUCUUUUUCCUGUCUGAAGUGAUGGACCAAACAUCUGUGCAGAAGGAGGCACAUCCUGGCGGAAGCAUUUCCCCAUGGACAGCCCCUGCUGCAGGAAG